rnacentral:rRNA from 1 species
UACGGGGGGGGCAAGCGUUGUUCGGAAUUACUGGGCGUAAAGGGCUCGUAGGUGGCCAACUAAGUCAGACGUGAAAUCCCCAGGCUCAACUUGGGAACUGCGUCUGAUACUGGAUGGCUUGAAUUCGGGAGAGGGAUGCAGAAUUCCAGGUGUAGCGGUGAAAUGCGUAGAUAUCUGGAGGAAUACCGGUGGUGUAGACGGCUCUCUGGACCGUAACUGACACUGAGACACGAAAGCGUGGGUAGCAAACAGG